GGAGAGAUGGCUGAGUGGUCGAAAGCGCACGCCUCGAAAGCGUGUUAUCCCGUAAGGGGUACCUGGGUUCGAAUCCCAGUCUCUCCGCCA
rnacentral:tRNA from 1 species